rnacentral:rRNA from 1 species
CCUGGCGGCGAGUGGCGAACGGGUGAGUAAUACAUCGGAACGUACCCAGAAGUGGGGGAUAACGUAGCGAAAGUUACGCUAAUACCGCAUACGUUCUACGGAAGAAAGNGGGGGAUCUUCGGACCUCNUGCUUUUGGAGCGGCCGAUGUCUGAUUAGCUAGUUGGUGAGGUAAAGGCUCACCAAGGCGACGAUCAGUAGCUGGUCUGAGAGGACGACCAGCCACACUGGGACUGAGACACGGCCCAGACUCCUACGGGAGGCAGCAGUGGGGAAUUUUGGACAAUGGGCGCAAGCCUGAUCCAGCAAUGCCGCGUGAGUGAAGAAGGCCUUCGGGUUGUAAAGCUCUUUUGUCAGGGAAGAAACGGGGUUGGCUAAUAUCCGNCCUUAAUGACGGUACCUGAAGAAUAAGCACCGGCUAACUACGUGCCAGCAGCCGCGGUAAUACGUAGGGUGCAAGCGUUAAUCGGAAUUACUGGGCGUAAAGCGUGCGCAGGCGGUUUUGUAAGUCUGACGUGAAAUCCCCGGGCUCAACCUGGGAAUUGCGUUGGAGACUGCAAGGCUGGAGUCUGGCAGAGGGGGGUAGAAUUCCACGUGUAGCAGUGAAAUGCGUAGAGAUGUGGAGGAACACCGAUGGCGAAGGCAG